rnacentral:rRNA from 1 species
UACGUAGGGGGCAAGCGUUAUCCGGAUUUAUUGGGCGUAAAGAGCGUGUAGGCGGCCUGAAAGGUCAGCUGUGAAAACUCGAGGCUCAACCUCGAGACGUCGGUUGAAACCAUCUGGCUAGAGUCCGGAAGAGGAGUGUGGAAUUCCCGGUGUAGCGGUGAAAUGCGCAGAUAUCGGGAAGAACACCCGUGGCGAAGGCGGCACUCUGGGACGGUACUGACGCUGAGACGCGAAAGCGUGGGGAGCGAACAGG